UAAUCGAUAUGUUGAAUUGUGGUCGCCGAUCGUUUGACCAGUUUCAGGUUGUUGAUCAAGACAUGUCACAUGGAAGAUUGUGCAAGAUAUGGAUAACAAAAGAAAUAUAAAUCCAAAAAAUAUUUCUGAAGCCUGAAUGUACCUGGUAGUCGAGACAAUGCACGUCAGAUUCAACAUUUUCUGUUGACACAGUUAUUGACUGUGAUUAUUUAUGAAGAAACUUGUACGUCAGGCAGUGAUUUUAGUUUAAGAAGGAUGACUUUAUAAUAAAAAAUGUUCAAUUUCAA